UGGCCAGUAAUCGUGACACC
rnacentral:siRNA from 1 species